rnacentral:rRNA from 1 species
UACGUAGGGUGCAAGCGUUGUCCGGAAUUAUUGGGCGUAAAGAGCUCGUAGGCGGUUCGUCGCGUCGGCUGUGAAAACCCGGAGCUCAACUCCGGGCCUGCAGUCGAUACGGGCGGACUCGAGUUCGGCAGGGGAGACUGGAAUUCCUGGUGUAGCGGUGAAAUGCGCAGAUAUCAGGAGGAACACCGGUGGCGAAGGCGGGUCUCUGGGCCGAUAUUGACGCUGAGGAGCGAAAGCGUGGGGAGCAAACAGG